CUAGGCAGUUGGGCUGCAGGAAGUUAGGCAGCAACAUUGCUUGGCUGUAGGGUUGCUGUGUAUAACCCGGAGAACAUCAGCAAUGCUUUUCCUUCACCUGAAGGUACAAAGAUUACAUAUGGAAACAACUAAUGGGAAAUGUAUCCUUGAAAUUAAAGAUUAAAAAUGCUUAGUAGACCAAAACCAGUGACAUCCAUUAUAUUGAAGCAUAUCUGUUAAUGGAUUGAAAAGGUGAGGAAAUUUUUUGAUGUGGAGACUAUGGAGAAAAGGAAAACAAACAUGUGGCAGUGGCUGCAAUUUCACCAUGCUAGGCUAACUGCACAGGCCUGUGGGAUCUGUUACUAGAGAACCUAUGGAGGACAUUCAUAUCUACACAAUGUGGAGGAGUAGACUGACUGACUUCCUCCAAAAACCUGGAAGUACCAACCAACUGCAUGAAAAGACUUUGGCAGAACAAAGAACAAACAUCACUGAGCUAUCCUUUUUUCCCCAAGUACUGCAGAAGAUUGAGAGGAAGUAAAGGAGAUGACCUCAGGGUGUAAGAAGAGGGGAGGAGUUAUGAGGAGAAUGUACCUCUUAGAAACUCUGGCAUGAGUUGGUUGAAACUCAUUGUUAUGUUAUUCAAAGGAUUAUGUAAUGCAGCUCCAAUCAGUUAGAACUCAGAUACCAAAUGAAGUAGCAUGUUGUACUAAGGGUAGAAUUAACUAAGAAAAUAUCUUCAAAAGAAAAAAACAGUUAAAAUCCUUUCCAGUACCAAAUAUAGAAGACAACUGGAGAAGGCUUUAACAUCAUACCACUCUGUCUGCAAGCAAAGGAUGUAGGCAAAAGAAAAACAGCCUUAUUUCUGAUAAUAGAUGCUUUUUAUGCACUAGGUAUGCUUAAUAGUUUUUCAGUCAAAUCAACCACAGUGCACUAACUAUGAAGCUGUGGGCACAUCUACACAUGCACUUAAUGUGCAAUAGCCUAUUUUACUGAGCAUUAAAGCAUCACGUAUAAAGCCAUACAAUUAUACUAAUGCACAGUAAAAUAGACUACUGCACAUUAAGUGUCACUUUAAAACUAUGUGCAUACAUUACUGUGCAUGAAGGCAGCCUAAUGUGCAUUUCUUUAGUACCUAGAUUGGAAGUACUAAAUUUAAUGCACAUUAGAAAAAGCGCCUUAACACAUGUGUAGACAUACGUUUUACAUAAAUUUGAAGCAUACUGAACUAAUUUUAAAAAUUAAAUGUGAGAGAGAUUCUUUUAAUUAGAGAAUGCACAAGAAAGGUGAAACUACAGAAGAAUUUGGGACAGAUCUAUAGCUGAAGGGUCGGUUUUACAGUUGUAGGGGGCUUAUCUUCAGAUGGUCUCUGAUAACAGUCCAAAUUGUGAUUGGGAAUAGAGACAAAAUUCCAGAGAGAGACUAUCAGAAGACCCAGAAUUAACCCUUGACAAGACAAUUAAAAUUAGCCAACCAGAAGAAAUCCACUCCAAACUGCAGCACAGGGUGGAUGAACAGCACUCUGACAUCAAGGACACGAUAAGAAAUACAAUAUACAAAUGAAAACAUUGCAGCAUUCAAAGCCAGAGUCCACAAAAAGAAGAAUAUCGACCUGAAUAUGCUGUGACAAACAAGAUAAACCCAGACAGUGCCUAUCAGAUGAAACUUUGGCUUUGUACAGCCAUUCAAAAAUGCCUGAGUUGAAAUCAAUCUAAGUAACACGGUUGUCUGUAAAUGAUAUAUUUUAGUAAGCAGCAUGUUAGCAAACACAGCACACAUCUAUCCUUGGUGGGGUGGGGAAGGGAGAGGGGCAAAAAUCUUAGAUCAGGUGUCAUCAUUUUUAAACCAAGUUUACGUGUACUGAAUUUCUGUUCUAUUAUGGGUAUAGACCAGUUUUGUGUUUCUGAUCACUUAUACCAGUAAAAGUAUAAAGUCUGUACGUGGCCUUUAUGGAUUGCAUGCCAUGAACAAAGAGGGUGGCAACAGUGUCACAAGCAGUGUUCUGUCUCUCCAGAGCACUCCAUAGGACUAGUCAAUGACAUUUCGACAAAAGAUGAUGAUUGGAUUAUCAACCAGAAAGUAAGUUGGACAUCUAUUAAUUUUCAGUUCACAAGAUAAUUUGGUGAUAGAAACAGAGAGAUUAGAAUUAAAACAUGAGAUCGCUACUAUGUAACUAAGUCCUGUGGACAUCAGAUACAAAUUUUAAUGAAGAGUUUGAGAAACUGGAGGAGUUCAUUUAAUAGACCCAAAUAGGCCCAAGAUACCAUAUGUGCACUGUAUAAAUAGUUCACCGACAUUUCCAAGGAGAGUACUGAUACAAUCAUAAUUGAUAGAUUUACUGUUGCGUGACAAAAUGCAUGGCUAAUUAUCAGCCCUGGUCUGUUAAAAGGUUCCUGAGUUUUGAUGAAUCUUUUGCAAAACUUAGAUGGAGUUUUAUAUACUUCCAACUUAAAUUUAAAAGCUUAAUAAAUCUGGUUGGAAAACAGAAAACCCCUUUUGAAGGUAAUAUUGACAUUCUGAAAUUUGAGCAAGUUCCAAAUCAAAAGUUAGUAUUUUCAAAUUUACUGCACAACAGAAAUCCCAACUCUUGGCUUCAAUAGUACUGAAGCAUUAUAGUAUGAUAUAAAAUUUCAAUUUUAAGCAU